rnacentral:rRNA from 1 species
UGGGGAAUAUUGGGCAAUGGAGGCAACUCUGACCCAGCAACGCCGCGUGAAUGAAGAAGGCCUUCGGGUUGUAAAGUUCUUUAAUUGGGGACGAAGGAAAUGACGGUACCCAAAGAAUAAGCCACGGCUAACUACGUGCCAGCAGCCGCGGUAAUACGUAGGUGGCAAGCGUUGUCCGGAAUGACUGGGCGUAAAGGGAGCGUAGGCGGCGCGGUAAGUUAGGAGUGAAAUCCCGGGGCUCAACCCCGGAACUGCUUUUAAAACUGCCGUGCUUGAGUGAUGGAGAGGAAAGCGGAAUUCCUA